CACCGGAUCCUUAAUGGAGUGAGGCCAGGGAUCGACAUGCAACCUCAUGGUUCCUAGUUGAUUUCGUUAACCAUUGAGCCACGAUGGGAACCCCUCCUUUUUAUUUAUUAAAGAAAUAGGAUUACACUAACUACAUAUUUUUGAAAUCCACUUUUUAUUUAGCAGUACUGGGAAUUUGCUCCUUGUUUUUUAUCUUUUUUGGGCUGAACGUGUGGCAUAUGGCAGCUCAUGGGCUGGGAAUCGAAUCUAAGCCACAGCUAAGGCCUAUGCCACAGGCACGGCAUCACCAGAUCUGAGCCAUAUCUGCCACCUGUGGCAUAGCUUGGUUCAACAACAGAUCCUAAACCCACUGAGUGAGGCCAGGGAUUGAUCCUGCUUCCUCAUAGACUCUAUGUCAGGUUCUUAACCUGCUGAGCCGCAACGGUAACUUCCUUAAUUGUUGAUUCAAUUGUUAAUUGAAUGUAGUCUGGAAUUGCUGUGUGAUGUCCCAUUAGAAGGAUAUAAAGUGGGUAAGUGUACAUAUUCUCUAAGCGGGUCCCCCCUCCCACCACGCUUUGUCCCCCUUGUAACCCAGUGAUAAGUUCAGUGGGCAUGUGUUUCACUGACAUCUCUGCACAUCCCACUGCUCCUUUCCUUGAAAUACAGUGAGCAAAGGAUAUCCCUGGAGUUUCACCUUGUAUGUAAAAUCGAGUCCUCUGGGAUGGCUAGGUGACAGACAGAAGCCCCAUGGGAAGCUGGCCCCAUCUGAGCAGGCCAGUUUCUGACAAAUGAGGAGUGAUCUUACCCGGUCCAUCCUACCUGACUCAUGGUACCGUGUGUACCCAAGACUCAAGUGGAAGGAGGUCAUUCCCCGUGAAUGAGGGUGUCUCUGCUAAUGUGUUCCUCGUCCGUGGUCUUUCACAGCUCAGUCUCCCCCCUGUGGGUGCCCCUUCUGCGAACACCUGCAUGUGCACGUUGCCACAGCUUUAGAAAUGGCAUUAACUCCAGGUGAGAUGGGUUAGGAACCAUUUCUGGGUGACAAGAGAAAGGGAUUAGGGGGCAUGUCGGAAACGUUCACAAAGAUGUGAAAAGUGGACUCGGGCUCCAUGUCUUUUUAUUUCAGAAUUUAAAAAGCUGAGAGUCGAAGCGGAGCCCAGAGGAAGAAAUGAAACCCAAAGUCGUUCCCUGAUCAAGAGGAGAAGGGCCGCUGCCAUGGCAUUAGUGACCUAGCAACUGGGAACGCUGGAGGUGCAGACAAUGGGCAGGAGAAUGUGGAAUCAGCGGAAGGCUGAGGACAGGACCUGGGACUCAAAGGCCAGGUUCACAGUGUGGCUGAGAACCCAGCUCUGUCCAUACUGAGGAGCCAGGUGCCGAGAGGAGAUGUCGGAUGGGGGACCUGAGAUCCAUGGCAAGUGUUCCUUGCCAAGCGGGCCUUCCUUUGCCCCAGAUGCUCCUUCCUCUGGAGAUGGGUUAGUAGAGGUUCAACCUCCUUUGUUCUCUAUGUCUUUCUUGGGGUGGCUACAUAGACAACGUUCAUAAUUUUACCUUUUUAAACACACUGCUCAGUGGCAUUAGGGACAUUCACAAUGUCGCCCAGCCAGCAACACCAUCCAUCACCCUAAAGGGAAACCUUUGCCUCAGAUGAACACUAACUACCCAUGCCUCCCUCCUCUGGACCAGCGGCUACCUGUCCAUUCUUCCUUCCCUGGGCUAUGACUCUGACUGCUCGAGGUUCUGAAUAGAAGUGGGAGCAUAUGCUAUUUGUCUCUCUCUGUAAUGGGCUUAUUUCCCUCAGCAGAACUAGUCUUUAAGGCUCAUCCCUACUGCAGCCUGGGCAGAAUCUCCUUCCAUUCUAAGACUGAAAAGUACUCCACUGAACCGAGAGACCACACUUUGUCUAUCCCUUCAUCCAUGGAUGGAGAUUUGGGUGCUUCCAUGUCUCCCUCUCAGGAAUCAGGCUGAUAUGAGCAUGGGUGCACAAGAAGCUGUUCAAGUCCCUGCCUUUCCUGUUGUGUAGAAAUAGCCAGAAGAGAAAUUGCUGGAUCAUUCGUUCCCCUGGGAGUGCGUCCACUUCGCCCUUAUUUAAUGGAUGCCCAAAACGUCAGCUGUUGGGGUUCGUGGUGGCCACCGUCGAUGGGUCCUCGGAACCACAUCCAUGGCUCUGGCCGAGUGGCGAGUGUGGUACGUCAACAGCACCUCGCUCUUAUCCUCCCGCCUAGCCUGUGUGGGAGUGUGGAGAGCCUGCAUUUUUCAUCACGGCAACGGCCUCGACUGCCCCAUCGGGUGUCAGGAUUAUAGCUACUUAGAUUCCUCCGUCCCACUGGAUAUCCGUGUUGCUCAAAUAGUCCUGCUGCUCGCCACCGUUCUAGGGCUUUUCAGCAAAGCUGCCAUCAUCUUUGCGCUUAAGAACAUGUACCUGAGCAAAGCGCAGAAGACCUGUGAUCCAUCUGCUGUUGCAGGAAUGCUGAGCAUAGCUGCUAGUGUCUGCAUCCUAGCUGCUGUGGUCUGGAACCAACUGUCCAUCCAGACCGAAGAGGGAAUUGCCUUCCCACCAUCUUUCAAUCUACCCUUCAAGUCGGACUGUCAGGAAGUCGGUGGGGCUGCUCUCAUGGCCUUUCUUGGUUCCUUUGGGUUCUUCUUUGGGGGAUGGCUUACCUCUCUUACAAAUACCUGCUAGACAGCCGAGUGCAUCCUGCAAUUUCAGAUACAUAAAAUUCCUCACCUCAUUGGGUUUCUAAACCCCAAAUUACCAGAGUUCAUUUGAAGUGUUACAUCAGGAUGCUGCGUCCCUUAGUUGUAAAGACUCUAGACCAUCACAAAUGUAGUUUGGGGCAGAUAAUGGCUGUUACCCUUUGUGGCUGCAUUCGGUUCCCUCGUUGAACAAAGAAAAUGCCAUUAAAAAAAUCUUAC